rnacentral:rRNA from 1 species
UACAGAACGCCCGGGCUUCGGCCUGGUUAUUCAUAACCCUUUGUUGUCCGACUCUGUUGCCUCCGGGGCGACCCUGCCUUCGGGCGGGGGCUCCGGGUGGACACUUCAAACUCUUGCGUAACUUUGCAGUCUGAGUAAACUUAAUUAAUAAAUUAAAACUUUUAACAACGGAUCUCUUGGUUCUGGCAUCAAUGAAGAACGCAGCGAAAUGCGAUAAGUAAUGUGAAUUGCAGAAUUCAGUGAAUCAUCGAAUCUUUGAACGCACAUUGCGCCCCCUGGUAUUCCGGGGGGCAUGCCUGUUCGAGCGUCAUUUCACCACUCAAGCCUCGCUUGGUAUUGGGCAACGCGGUCCGCCGCGUGCCUCAAAUCGUCCGGCUGGGUCUUCUGUCCCCUAAGCGUUGUGGAAACUAUUCGCUAAAGGGUGUUCGGGAGGCUACGCCGUAAAACAACCCCAUUUCUAAGGUUGACCUCGGAUCAGGUAGGGAUACCCGCUGAACUAAAGCAUAU